AAUUUUAUAAAAGCGCCAGAACUUAAGUGAUUUUCUAAAGGAAAGUCCUACUAAGCGUAGGAGUAAGUUUGCCUAACUAAAUUGAAAUUUAUAGGCUCACUUAAGUUGACGAGGAUGGGGAGAAUCGAAUUCUUCGGCGGGUGCCCCACGGUAUCGCACUACCGUUAACGACUAGUAAAACUAUGAAGUGAUUUAUAGCACAACACUAGUCUGGUGUUAAAA
rfam:Clostridium celatum DSM 1785 genomic scaffold Scfld538, whole genome shotgun sequence.